GACCUGGCUCAGGAUGAACGCUAGCUACAGGCUUAACACAUGCAAGUCGAGGGGCAGCAUUUCAGUUUGCUUGCAAACUGGAGAUGGCGACCGGCGCACGGGUGAGUAACACGUAUCCAACCUGCCGAUAACUCGGGGAUAGCCUUUCGAAAGAAAGAUUAGUACCCGAUAGUAUAAUUAGACCGCAUGGUCUUAUUAUUAAAGAAUUUCGGUUAUCGAUGGGGAUGCGUUCCAUUAGGCAGUUGGUG
rnacentral:rRNA from 1 species